rnacentral:misc_RNA from 1 species
GAUGAAGAACGAAGCGAAAUGCGAUAAGUAGUGUGAAUUGCAGAAUUCAGUGAAUCAUCGAAUCUUUGAACGCACAUUGCGCCCCUUGGUAUUCCAUGGGGCAUGCCUGUUCGAGCGUCAUUUGUACCUUCAAGCUCUGCUUGGUGUUGGGUGUUUGUCUCGCCUCUGCGUGUAGACUCGCCUCAAAACAAUUGGCAGCCGGCGUAUUGAUUUCGGAGUGCAGUACAUCUCGCGCUUUGCACUCAUAACGACGACGUCCAAAAGUACAUUUUUACACUCUUGACCUCGGAUCAGGUAGGGAUACCCGCUGAACUUAAGCAUAUCAAUAAGCGGAGGA